CCGCUCUCCAAACCCUUCCAGACUGCAGCCUCUCAGCCCCCCUCACCACUCGUUAAGGAGGAUGGAGUACAAAGGAUCAGCUUGGAUGAGAAGGAGAAGAGAAUGUCAGUGUCACAGGUCACUUGCGUGGGAACACAGAGCCCUAGGCAGAAGACAGUGACUCAGAGCCCGGCCAGGUAACUUCAUUGUUGGGAGCUAUUAAGACAACUCUAUUGUCUUGAUCUCCGAAUUGGGCCUCUCCCCCACCCCCAGAAGAAAAGGGGGUCAAAAGCAGGCCACCAACGCACGGUUCCAAGAACAACCACAGAAUGUUCCAGCCCUAAGUCAGCGCCAGAUGUCCUGACCUCAAGAUGUACCCUGAUACCACCAAGUUCCUGCUUCCCAGCGUAGUUGCCAAAAGAAAAAUUUCUGCUGCACCAUCCCUCCUGCUGAGAAGUACUUCCUCUUUUGCUUGUGCAUUUAAGCCUUGAGCCUUGCUGAAUAAAGU
rnacentral:lncRNA from 1 species